UAGAGUUUGAUCCUGGCUCAGGAUGAACGCUAGCUACAGGCUUAACACAUGCAAGUCGAGGGGAAACGGCAUUUAGUGCUUGCACCGAAUGGACGUCGACCGGCGCACGGGUGAGUAACGCGUAUCCAACCUUCCCACAACUAAGGGAUAACCUGCCGAAAGGCAGACUAAUACCUUAUAUAAUCCUUUGAUGGCAUCAGAUAAGGAUAAAAGAUUUAUCGGUUAUGGAUGGGGAUGCGUCUGAUUAGCUUGUUGGCGGGGUAACGGCCCACCAAGGCAACGAUCAGUAGGGGUUCUGAGAGGAAGGUCCCCCACAUUGGAACUGAGACACGGUCCAAACUCCUACGGGAGGCAGCAGUGAGGAAUAUUGGUCAAUGGACGGAAGUCUGAACCAGCCAAGUAGCGUGCAGGAUGACGGCCCUAUGGGUUGUAAACUGCUUUUGUAUGGGGAUAAAGUCAAUCACGUGUGAUUGUUUGCAGGUACCAUACGAAUAAGGACCGGCUAAUUCCGUGCCAGCAGCCGCGGUAAUACGGAAGGUUCGGGCGUUAUCCGGAUUUAUUGGGUUUAAAGGGAGCGUAGGCUGGAUAUUAAGUGUGUUGUGAAAUGUAGACGCUCAACGUCUGACUUGCAGCGCAUACUGGUUUCCUUGAGUACGCACAACGUUGGCGGAAUUCGUCGUGUAGCGGUGAAAUGCUUAGAUAUGACGAAGAACUCCGAUUGCGAAGGCAGCUGACGGGAGCGCAACUGACGCUUAAGCUCGAAGGUGCGGGUAUCAAACAGGAUUAGAUACCCUGGUAGUCCGCACAGUAAACGAUGGAUGCCCGCUGCUGGUACCUGGUAUCAGCGGCUAAGCGAAAGCAUUAAGCAUCCCACCUGGGGAGUACGCCGGCAACGGUGAAACUCAAAGGAAUUGACGGGGGCCCGCACAAGCGGAGGAACAUGUGGUUUAAUUCGAUGAUACGCGAAGAACCUUACCAAAUCUUGACAUCCUCUGACCCCUCUAGAGAUAGAGUUUUCCCCUUCGGGGGACAGAGUGACAGGUGGUGCAUGGUUGUCGUCAGCUCGUGUCGUGAGAUGUUGGGUUAAGUCCCGCAACGAGCGCAACCCUUAAGCUUAGUUGCCAUCAUUAAGUUGGGCACUCUAAGUUGACUGCCGGUGACAAACCGGAGGAAGGUGGGGAUGACGUCAAAUCAUCAUGCCCCUUAUGAUUUGGGCUACACACGUGCUACAAUGGACAAUACAAAGGGUAGCGAAACCGCGAGGUCAAGCAAAUCCCAUAAAGUUGUUCUCAGUUCGGAUUGUAGUCUGCAACUCGACUAUAUGAAGCUGGAAUCGCUAGUAAUCGUAGAUCAGCAUGCUACGGUGAAUACGUUCCCGGGUCUUGCACUCACCGCCCGUCAAG
rnacentral:rRNA from 1 species